rnacentral:rRNA from 1 species
CGUCUAUAUACGUAUAGCAUAUCAAUAAGCGGAGGAAAAGAAACUAACUAGGAUUCCCUCAGUAACGGCGAGUGAAGCGGGAAGAGCUCAAAUUUGAAAUCUUCAAGGUUCUACCUUGACGAAUUGUAGUUUAAAGAAGUGUUUUCUGUUGGAGUUUUGGUAAAAGUUCUUUGGAAUAGGACAUCAUAGAGGGUGAGAAUCCCGUAUUUGACCAUUAUUUCCAACUUUGUGAUACACUUUCAAAGAGUCGGAUUGUUUGGGAAUGCAGUCCAAAAUGGGUGGUAAAUUUCAUCUAAAGCUAAAUACUGGCGAGAGACCGAUAGCGAACAAGUACCGUGAGGGAAAGAUGAAAAGAACUUUGAAAAGAGAGUUAAACAGUACGUGAAAUUGUCAAAAGGGAAGCGUUUGACACCAGUGUUGUUUUCUCGAAAAUCAAUUAAAAAGAUUGGGGAUUUUGUGUUGUAUUGACUUUAUCAGCUUUCUGCACUUUUUUCUUGUCUUUUUUAAUGCACUUUUCGUUUAACAAGUCAACAUCAAUUUCUUUUGCUGUAAAAGGGUCAUUGGAAGGUGGCUUUCUUUUCGGAGAAAGUGUUUAUAGCCUUUGGACUUCUGCAAUCGGAGAGAUUGAGGUCUGCAGCGUAGAUCCUUCGGGGUUAGAUGCAUUUGUGCUAAGUUAUAGCCUUUCAUAGACAACUUGUUGACUAUGAUCAGUCAUGUAGCUUACUCGCUUAUGUCUAUUUUACCUACGCUUAGGAUGUUGACGAUCAGCUGAGCGCGG